rnacentral:rRNA from 1 species
GAAAAGAAACUAACAAGGAUUCCCUUAGUAACGGCGAGUGAAGAGGGAAGAGCUCAAAUUUUGAAUCUGGCGCCUUUGGUGUCCGAGUUGUAAUCUAGAGAAGUGUUUUCCGUGACGGACCGUGCACAAGUCUCCUGGAAUGGAGCUGUCAUAGAGGGUGAGAAUCCCGUACAUGGCACGGACUCCCGUUACUCUGCGAUACACUCUCGACGAGUCGAGUUGUUUGGGAAUGCAGCUCUAAUUGGGUGGUAAAUGCCAUCUAAAGCUAAAUAUCGGCGAGAGACCGAUAGCGAACAAGUACCGUGAGGGAAAGAUGAAAAGCACUUUGGAAAGAGAGUGAAACAGUACGUGAAAUUGUUGAAAGGGAAACGCUUGAAGUCAGUCGCGCCCUUCAGGAUUCAGCCUUGCUUCUGCUUGGUUUACUUCCUGUUCGGUGGGUCAACGUCAGUUUCGAUCGGAGGAGAAAGGCUUGGGGAAGGUGGCAGCACAAGUGCUGUGUUAUAGCCCCGUGUUGUAUACUUCGAUUGGGACUGAGGACCGCAGCGCGCCUUUACGGCCGGGGCUUGCCCACGUACGCSCUUAGGAUGU